GUGUCCAGUAACUUUCAUUUUCAAGCCUGUGCUCUUCUCGAGGUAUCAGGAAGGGACUACGGUUGUUACAUAUGGCUGAAGACACACGCAACAAAAACCCACUUAAGAUUUUGGAAUCUGUGGGCAAAGAGCUCAUUACUGGCGUUUUGGAUGACUUGGUGGGAAAAAAUGUCCUGAAAUUGGAGGAAGAGGAGAAGAAAAAAAUUUAUGAUGCCAAGCUUGAAGACAAGGCGCGGGUCUUGGUGGACUCUAUGCGACAGAAACGCCAUGAGGCAGGUCAAAUCUUUGUUCAAACCUUCCUAAACAUAGAAAAAAAUUCCACCAGUAUAAAAGCUCCUGAGGAAAUCGUGACUGGACCAGAUGAGUCAGCAGAAACUACAGAUACCCUCAAGCUUUGCCCUCAUGAAGAAUUUCUUAAACUGUGUAAAGAAAGGGCUGAAGAGGUCUAUCCAAUAAAGGAGAUAAAGUCCCGCACUCGUCUGGCUCUCAUCAUAUGCAAUACAGAGUUUGAUCAUCUCCCUCUCAGGAAUGGGGCUGCCCAUGACAUCAUGGGAAUGAAGGGGCUGCUUGAGGGCCUUGGCUACAGUGUGGAUGUGGAAGAGAAACUCACAGCCAGGGAUAUGGAAUCAGUGCUGUGCAGAUUUGCUGCCCGUGAAGAGCACAAAUCUUCAGACAGCACAUUCUUGGUGUUCAUGUCUCAUGGCAUCCUGGAUGGGAUCUGUGGGACUAUGCAUAGUGAUGAAAAACGAGAUGUGCUACCUUAUGACACCAUCUUCCGGAUAUUCAACAACCGCAAUUGCCUCAGUCUAAAGGACAAACCUAAGGUCAUCAUUGUCCAGGCCUGUAGAGGUGCAAAUCGUGGGGAAUUGUGGGUCAGUGACUCUCCAGCAGCCUUGGCAGACAGCUCUUCACAGUCGCCUGAGAACCUGGAGGAGGAUGCCAUUUACAAGACCCAUGUGGAGAAGGACUUCAUUGCUUUCUGCUCCUCAACCCCACAUAAUGUGUCCUGGAGAGACAUCACAAAAGGUUCUCUCUUCAUUACUCAACUCAUCACAUGCUUCCAAAAAUAUUCCUGGCGCUGUCAUCUAGAGGAAGUAUUUAGGAAGGUACAAAAAUCAUUUGAAAAACCAAAUGUUAAAGCCCAGAUGCCCACCAUUGAACGACUCUCCAUGACAAGAUAUUUCUACCUCUUUCCUGGCAAUUGAAAAUAGCAUCUGGAUCCACCCCUACAUCUCUACAAUCAUCAAUCAAUAAAUCAAUCAGCCAAGAAGAAAAUCACAGGAAGUUCAGCUGUUUCAACUUCAAGAAGCACUUUUACCAGUACAGAACACAUGUUUAAUCUUUUGUCUUUCAAUGAAAAUGAAAACAAAUGAACUGGGUUGUUUUGGGUCUUCUAAUAGAGAAUAGACUUUCAGUUAAAAUGGUGGAUGGAUGGAAAUGAAGUGGAAGAAGCAAACUGGGUUUUCUAGUUUUAUUUCAUAUAAUAUCUGCACUUCAUUGAGUAAAGGGAACUGGUCAUGACUUGCCCUCAGCAAUAGGGUGAAAGGAGAUGGUGCUCAUCUGGAGACAAGAGCUGUAAAUUGGUCAGCUCCUCCUUUAUACACUCAUCAAACCCCAGGCCUAGAAUUGUGCAGAAGAAGUUUUCUAAUAUAUUAUUCAAACAAUGUCAUAGCUUGAGUACAUUUUUUUCUUCAGUAAGUUAUGAUUUUAGCAAAUUACACCUAUGUAUCUUUCUUCCUAUCUAUAAGUUAAUUUACUUUCUUGUUGAUUAUUUUCUUUCCAGAUUUCUGCAUAUUUCCAAGCUUCAGGAAAAUUUUAUUAUUUAGCAAACAUUCGGUUAUUGUCUAAAAUAAA